rnacentral:pre_miRNA from 14 species
UUUCACAAGGUAUACUGAAAGACCCCCGGAGCAGGGAGACCCUCACUCAAGUCUCGGGAUGAUGCGACCCCCCAAGAGCUCACGUGAGACC